rnacentral:misc_RNA from 1 species
UACAGAGAGAAAUGAAAUGAACCAAACCCCAUUAAUCUCCUUUUGAGAUUAAAGCUUUUGAGAAUUUCUCUCAAUUCCAUUAUCCAUAGCUCUUAGCUACUGUUACUAACUAUUUGCCCUUCCUACACUUGACGUUGAAAUAAAACUAAAUCCCACUAGUUUAGAACUGUUUUUUGUUACAGUUUUGUUCUUGUUGAUGAUGGGAUGAUGAUGACGGCGAUUAAAUCUAUGAGGAUUCUAAAAUGAGAUUGGUUG